rnacentral:rRNA from 1 species
UACGUAGGGUGCAAGCGUUGUCCGGAAUUAUUGGGCGUAAAGAGCUCGUAGGCGGUUCGUCGCGUCGGCUGUGAAAACCCGGAGCUCAACUCCGGGCCUGCAGUCGAUACGGGCGGACUUGAGUGUUGCAGGGGAGACUGGAAUUCCUGGUGUAGCGGUGAAAUGCGCAGAUAUCAGGAGGAACACCGGUGGCGAAGGCGGGUCUCUGGGCAACUACUGACGCUGAGAAGCGAAAGCGUGGGGAGCGAACAGG